rnacentral:rRNA from 1 species
GGGUUGUGAGGUUAAGCGACUAAGCGUACACGGUGGAUGCCCUGGCAGUCAGAGGCGAUGAAGGGCGUGCUAAUCUGCGAUAAGCGCCGGUAAGGUGAUAUGAACCGUUAUAACCGGCGAUACCCGAAUGGGGAAACCCAGUGUGACUCGUCACACUAUCAUUAACUGAAUCCAUAGGUUAAUGAGGCGAACCGGGGGAACUGAAACAUCUAAGUACCCCGAGGAAAAGAAAUCAACCGAGAUUCCCCCAGUAGCGGCGAGCGAACGGGGAGGAGCCCAGAGCCUGAAUCAGCAUGUGUGUUAGUGGAAGCGUCUGGAAAGGCGCGCGAUACAGGGUGACAGCCCCGUACACAAAAGCGCAUGUGCUGUGAGCUCGAUGAGUAGGGCGGGACACGUGGUAUCCUGUCUGAAUAUGGGGGGACCAUCCUCCAAGGCUAAAUACUCCUGACUGACCGAUAGUGAACCAGUACCGUGAGGGAAAGGCGAAAAGAACCCCGGCGAGGGGAGUGAAAAAGAACCUGAAACCGUGUACGUACAAGCAGUGGGAGCACCCUUUGGGGUGUGACUGCGUACCUUUUGUAUAAUGGGUCAGCGACUUAUAUUCUGUAGCAAGGUUAACCGUAUAGGGGAGCCGGAGGGAAACCGAGUCUUAAUUGGGCGUUAAGUUGCAGGGUAUAGACCCGAAACCCGGUGAUCUAGCCAUGGGCAGGUUGAAGGUUGGGUAACACUAACUGGAGGACCGAACCGACUAAUGUUGAAAAAUUAGCGGAUGACCUGUGGCUGGGGGUGAAAGGCCAAUCAAACCGGGAGAUAGCUGGUUCUCCCCGAAAGCUAUUUAGGUAGCGCCUCGUGAAUUCAUCUCCGGGGGUAGAGCACUGUUUCGGCUAGGGGGCCAUCCCGGCUUACCAACCCGAUGCAAACUGCGAAUACCGGAGAAUGUUAUCACGGGAGACACACGGCGGGUGCUAACGUCCGUCGUGAAGAGGGAAACAACCCAGACCGCCAGCUAAGGUCCCAAAGUCAUGGUUAAGUGGGAAACGAUGUGGGAAGGCCCAGACAGCCAGGAUGUUGGCUUAGAAGCAGCCAUCAUUUAAAGAAAGCGUAAUAGCUCACUGGUCGAGUCGGCCUGCGCGGAAGAUGUAACGGGGCUAAACCAUGCACCGAAGCUGCGGCAGCGACACUCAGGUGUCGUUGGGUAGGGGAGCGUUCUGUAAGCCUGCGAAGGUGGCCUGUGAGGGUUGCUGGAGGUAUCAGAAGUGCGAAUGCUGACAUAAGUAACGAUAAAGCGGGUGAAAAGCCCGCUCGCCGGAAGACCAAGGGUUCCUGUCCAACGUUAAUCGGGGCAGGGUGAGUCGACCCCUAAGGCGAGGCCGAAAGGCGUAGUCGAUGGGAAACGGGUUAAUAUUCCCGUACUUGGUGUUACUGCGAAGGGGGGACGGAGAAGGCUAUGUUGGCCGGGCGACGGUUGUCCCGGUUUAAGCGUGUAGGUGUGUGUUCCAGGUAAAUCCGGUU